rnacentral:rRNA from 1 species
UACGUAGGGGGCAAGCGUUAUCCGGAUUUACUGGGUGUAAAGGGAGCGUAGACGGUUUGGUAAGUCAGGUGUGAAAGCCCGGGGCUCAACCCCGGGAUUGCACUUGAAACUAUCAGGCUAGAGUGCAGGAGAGGUAAGUGGAAUUCCUAGUGUAGCGGUGAAAUGCGUAGAUAUUAGGAGGAACACCAGUGGCGAAGGCGGCUUACUGGACUGUAACUGACGUUGAGGCUCGAAAGCGUGGGGAGCAAAC